AGACCCAUGGUGUAAUGGUAACACUCCGGUUUUUGGUACCGUCAUUCGGGGUUCGAGUCCCUGUGGGUCUA
rnacentral:tRNA from 1 species